CGGGCGGGCGGCUGCAGCGAGCGGGGCGCCGGGGGCACCCCGGGCCGGCGGCGAGGGGCUGGCAGGGAGCGGGGCCGUGCUCCCAGCGCGGGAGAAAACUGAAAGUCAAGCAAUGUCUACCAAUUUAAAAUACCUUUCCUUGGGGAUCCUGGUCUUUCAGACCACUAGUUUAGUUUUGACUAUGCGAUAUUCUCGGACAUUGAAAGAGGAAGGACCUCGUUACUUAUCCUCUACUGCAGUAGUUGUUGCUGAAUUUUUGAAGAUUAUGGCCUGCAUUUUAUUGGUCUACAAAGACAGCAAGUGCAAUUUACGGGCUCUGAACAGAGUGCUACAUGAUGAAAUCCUUAACAAGCCUAUGGAAACACUUAAACUUGCUAUUCCAUCAGGGAUUUAUACUCUCCAGAAUAACUUGCUGUAUGUAGCACUGUCAAAUCUAGAUGCAGCCACUUAUCAGGUCACAUAUCAAUUAAAAAUUCUUACUACAGCAUUAUUUUCUGUGUCCAUGCUAAGUAAGAAAUUAGGUGUAUACCAGUGGUUAUCAUUAGUGAUUUUGAUGACGGGAGUUGCAUUUGUACAGUGGCCCUCAGAUUCUCAAGCAACAACUACUAAAGAGUUGUCAGCAGGAUCUCAAUUUGUUGGUCUUAUAGCAGUCCUUAUAGCCUGCUUUUCAAGUGGAUUUGCUGGGGUUUAUUUUGAGAAAAUUUUAAAAGAAACCAAACAGUCUGUCUGGAUCAGAAACAUUCAACUUGGAUUUUUUGGUAGCAUAUUUGGAUUGAUGGGUGUGUACAUAUAUGAUGGAGAACUUCUGUCAAAGAAUGGAUUUUUUCAAGGAUAUAACAAACUUACCUGGAUAGUUGUAGUUCUACAGGCACUGGGGGGCCUUGUGAUUGCUGCUGUUAUAAAAUAUGCAGACAAUAUUUUAAAAGGAUUUGCAACAUCUUUGUCAAUUAUAUUGUCAACAUUGAUCUCCUAUUUCUGGCUGCAAGAUUUUGUCCCAACCAGAGCAGCAUACCAAUCCCCAAGAUUGUCACAACAGUAUUACCUGUCCUCCCCCCUCCAUUGGCUAUAUCUCGUGUUCCUUGGGAUAAGAUGAGUGAUGGUUUAAUAAUAAUACCUAGUUCUUACAUAGUGCUUUACAAAGGAGUGUCUUUUUCUUUGGAGCCAUUCUUGUGAUAGCAGCUACAUUCCUAUAUGGUUAUGAUCCAAAACCUGCAGGAAAUCCUAUCAAG